rnacentral:rRNA from 1 species
AUUGAACGCUGGCGGCAUGCCUUACACAUGCAAGUCGAACGGCAGCACGGGAGCAAUCCUGGUGGCGAGUGGCGAACGGGUGAGUAAUAUAUCGGAACGUGCCCAGUCGUGGGGGAUAACGCAGCGAAAGCUGUGCUAAUACCGCAUACGAUCUAAGGAUGAAAGCGGGGGAUCGCAAGACCUCGCGCGAUUGGAGCGGCCGAUAUCAGAUUAGCUAGUUGGUGGGGUAAAGGCCCACCAAGGCGACGAUCUGUAGCUGGUCUGAGAGGACGAGCCGCCAGACUGAAACUGAUACACGGUCCAUGCUCCUACGGUAAGCAGCAGUGGGGAAGUUUGAAAAAUGGGGGAAACCGUGAUCCAGCGAUGCCGCGUGUGUGAAGUAGGCCUUCGGGUUGUAAAGCACUUUUGUUCGGGAAGAAACGUGGCGGGCUAAUACCCUGGCGGGAUGACGGUACCGGAAGAAUAAGCACCGGCUAACUACGUGCCAGCCGCCGCCGUAA